ensembl:snRNA U1 U1 spliceosomal RNA
AUACUUACCUGGCAGGGGAGAUACCAUGAUCACGAAGGUGGUUUUCCCAGGGCGAGGCUUAACCAUUGCAUUCCGGAUGCUGACCCCUGCGAUUUUCCCAAAUGUGGAAAAACUGACUGCAUAAUUUGUGGUAGUGGGCGACUGCAUUCAUGCUUUCCCCUG